AUUUGACUUAAGUUGGCAAGGAUCGGUAACGGUAGAACUAUUGUCGGCAAGAGGACCCUGAAGACACGAUUGGUUUUGGAGAUGCCGGUAUCGUUCCUGGAAAAAAAAAAUUCCUCGGUACCGGACAAGAUUUGGCGAAUUUACAUCGUGCUGAUCAGGAUCCGAUGGGGAACCCACGAUAUCGUCCAUAUGAGGCUGCUGAGUCGGGCCAAUCUGAUGAUGAUCACGAAGAAAAACUGCGCGACUCGACAAAAAAAAACCGGUCCUGUUCCUCCGUAUGGAGAGGCUGGACCAUAACCGAUUAGAUCGGUGGCGCCCAAGUUCCCUUCGGCGGUGCGGCAUCAGACGAUGCAACAUCCCGCUGGUGCCCUUGGGUAUUGUCGCACCGACCAUCCGGAGGGGCCCUUCAUCGGUGAAAACCGGUUAGGGCAUUGGGCGUCGGCAGUCAACAGGACCGGCAGGUAAGUGAUUUGGUUAAUCCAUAUGUUUGUUUGGAUUCCUUUUAGGUUCAAUUUCCACUGAGAAUGGAGGCUGUUGUUUUGGCAUCAGAAACGACGAAAUAAUUAUGUUGAUGGAGAAUAUUCAAAUGAAUUAAUAUUGGCGAAGGGUAACUUCGUGAUUCGACACCAGACUGGCUGCACGGGCGCAGCGCAAAACGAAGCGCAAAUAAAUCCCACAUCUAAUAGAUCCCGCAGACGAAAUUCACAGCAGCAACGCCAACCAGACAGGAUCGCCGGCUACCAUUCGAAGACUAUCGUCAACGGAAAGAUGAUCCGCACCUUUCUCAACGCAUCUCCUGGGCGCAGUGCCCGCCCGUGACACAUUUCGCUUCGGAUUCGGAACUUAUUCCGUCCCCCUUCCAGAGAGAUCCUAUUGGAAGGAUAAGAUGGUCCUGUUUUCCUAAAAGGAACGGUUGGACCAUAGCCGUUUAGAACGGCGGCGUCCAAGCUCCUCUCGGCGGCGCGGCAUCACACGAUGCCAA